rnacentral:rRNA from 1 species
AGUAGGGAAUCUUCCGCAAUGGGCGAAAGCUUGACGGAGCAACGCCGCGUGAGUGAUGAAGGUCUUCGGAUCGUAAAACUCUGUUAUUAGGGAAGAACAAAUGUGUAAGUAACUAUGCACGUCUUGACGGUACCUAAUCAGAAAGCCACGGCUAACUACGUGCCAGCAGCCGCGGUAAUACGUAGGUGGCAAGCGUUAUCCGGAAUUAUUGGGCGUAAAGCGCGCGUAGGCGGUUUUUUAAGUCUGAUGUGAAAGCCCACGGCUCAACCGUGGAGGGUCAUUGGAAACUGGAAAACUUGGGUGCAGAAGAGGAAAGUGGAAUUCCAUGUGUAGCGGUGAAAUGCGCAGAGAUAUGGAGGAACACCAGUGGCGAAGGUGACUUUCUGGUCUGUAACUGACGCUGAUGUGCGAAAU